rnacentral:rRNA from 1 species
AUGAACGCUAGCUACAGGCUUAACACAUGCAAGUCGAGGGGCAGCAUGGUCUUAGCUUGCUAAGGCCGAUGGCGACCGGCGCACGGGUGAGUAACACGUAUCCAACCUGCCGUCUACUCUUGGACAGCCUUCUGAAAGGAAGAUUAAUACAAGAUGGCAUCAUGAGUCCGCAUGUUCACAUGAUUAAAGGUAUUCCGGUAGACGAUGGGGAUGCGUUCCAUUAGAUAGUAGGCGGGGUAACGGCCCACCUAGUCUUCGAUGGAUAGGGGUUCUGAGAGGAAGGUCCCCCACAUUGGAACUGAGACACGGUCCAAACUCCUACGGGAGGCAGCAGUGAGGAAUAUUGGUCAAUGGGCGAGAGCCUGAACCAGCCAAGUAGCGUGAAGGAUGACUGCCCUAUGGGUUGUAAACUUCUUUUAUAAAGGAAUAAAGUCGGGUAUGGAUACCCGUUUGCAUGUACUUUAUGAAUAAGGAUCGGCUAACUCCGUGCCAGCAGCCGCGGUAAUACGGAGGAUCCGAGCGUUAUCCGGAUUUAUUGGGUUUAAAGGGAGCGUAGAUGGAUGUUUAAGUCAGUUGUGAAAGUUUGCGGCUCAACCGUAAAAUUGCAGUUGAUACUGGAUAUCUUGAGUGCAGUUGAGGCAGGCGGAAUUCGUGGUGUAGCGGUGAAAUGCUUAGAUAUCACGAAGAACUCCGAUUGCGAAGGCAGCCUGCUAAGCUGCAACUGACAUUGAGGCUCGAAAGUGUGGGUAUCAAACAGGAUUAGAUACCCUGGUAGUCCACACAGUAAACGAUGAAUACUCGCUGUUUGCGAUAUACAGUAAGCGGCCAAGCGAAAGCGUUAAGUAUUCCACCUGGGGAGUACGCCGGCAACGGUGAAACUCAAAGGAAUUGACGGGGGCCCGCACAAGCGGAGGAACAUGUGGUUUAAUUCGAUGAUACGCGAGGAACCUUACCCGGGCUUAAAUUGCAGAUGAAUUACGGUGAAAGCCGUAAGCCGCAAGGCAUCUGUGAAGGUGCUGCAUGGUUGUCGUCAGCUCGUGCCGUGAGGUGUCGGCUUAAGUGCCAUAACGAGCGCAACCCUUGUUGUCAGUUACUAACAGGUUCCGCUGAGGACUCUGACAAGACUGCCAUCGUAAGAUGUGAGGAAGGUGGGGAUGACGUCAAAUCAGCACGGCCCUUACGUCCGGGGCUACACACGUGUUACAAUGGGGGGUACAGAGGGCCGCUACCACGCGAGUGGAUGCCAAUCCCCAAAACCUCUCUCAGUUCGGACUGGAGUCUGCAACCCGACUCCACGAAGCUGGAUUCGCUAGUAAUCGCGCAUCAGCCACGGCGCGGUGAAUACGUUCCCGGGCCUUGUACACACCGCCCGUCAAGCCAUGGGAGCCGGGGGUACCUGAAGUGCGUAACCGCGAGGAGCGCCCUAGGGUAAAACUGGUGACUGGGGCU